rnacentral:rRNA from 1 species
CCUACGGGUGGCAGCAGUAGGGAAUUUUCGGCAAUGGGGGGAACCCUGACCGAGCAACGCCGCGUGAACGAAGAAGUUAUUCGUAAUGUAAAGUUCUUUUAACAGGGAAGAAAGAGACAUUUGACGGUACCCCUUGAAUAAGCCACGGCUAACUACGUGCCAGCAGCCGCGGUAAUACGUAGGUGGCAAGCGUUGUCCGGAUUUACUGGGUGUAAAGGGCGUGCAGCCGGAGAGACAAGUCAGAUGUGAAAUCCACGGGCUCAACCCGUGAACUGCAUUUGAAACUGUUUCCCUUGAGUGUCGGAGAGGUAAUCGGAAUUCCUUGUGUAGCGGUGAAAUGCGUAGAUAUAAGGAAGAACACCAGUGGCGAAGGCGGAUUACUGGACGAUAACUGACGGUGAGGCGCGAAAGCGUGGGGAGCAAACAGGAUUAGAUACCCGAGUAGUC